rnacentral:misc_RNA from 1 species
AUAGGUUUUAAGUAAAUAGAUGUAAUCAAAUACCAAACGCCUUUAGUUAUAAGUUUGGCUAUUCAUGCUGGGAUAUGUUCAUUGGAAUCCCAACUUAUACAAAGAACUUUGUUUGAUAGUUGAAGCUUGUCUCUAAGUGUUUUCUCCAUGGUAUUUAUUUUGCUGUUGACAUUAUUUGAAUUGAAGGUCAAGUGUAAUCCUCAAUCAA